rnacentral:rRNA from 1 species
AUGGAGGCCACCACCCUGCGGAAGCGGCCGCUCUCGAUCAAGACGGCCGCCGGACGCGAAGGGCGGACGGCGGCGGAAGCAGAGCUGGGGGAGCCGGUCAGCCCCUCCGCGAGGCUCGUGGAGGACUUCUACAUCAUCGUCCUCAUGGGCGCCUCCACGCCCCUCAACCUCCCCGCCCUCCGCGCCGGCAUCGAGGCCCAGCUCGCACGCUACCCGCACUUCCGCAGCAUCCAGGUAACGGACAAGGACGGCGAGCUGCGGUGGGCGCCGACGACGGUGAACGUGGAAAACCACCUGAUCCGCCCGACGCUGGACCCGGCCGCCGUGCCGGCCAACCCGGACAAGGCCGUGGAGGACUACGUGGCGUCCCUGUCGACGCUGCCCAUGGACCGGUCCCAGCCGCUGUGGGAGUUCCACCUCUUCGACUUCCCGACCUCCGAGGCGACCUCCACCGCCGCGAUCCGCGUGCACCACUCCCUCGGGGACGGCAUGUCUCUGCUCACGCUCCUCAUGGCCUGCACGCGCAGCGCCGCCGACCCGACCAGGCUGCCGGCCAUGCCGCCGCUGCCAUCGCGUACGGGCGCCAUCUACCAGCGACCGCGCCCUUCGGCGGGCGUCCUGGCGUACCUCCUUUGGGUCUGGUCCUUCGUCGUGCUCGCCUGGCACACCGUGGUGGACGUCGUCGGCUUCUUCGCGACCAUACUGUUCUUGAAGGAUCCGCACACGCUGUUCAAGCGGGUGAACCACGCGGAGACGCAGCGCAAGCGCAUCGUGCACCAGAGGCUUAGCCUCAACGACGUCAAGUUCGUCAAGAACGCCAUGAAAUGCACAGUUAACGAUGUGUUGAUUGGAGUCACAUACGCUGCCCUGUCGCGCUAUCACUUCCGAAAGUCAGGUGGUGAAACCGACACUCGCAAAGAGAUACGCGUGCGCUCAAUGCUUCUCGUCAACUUAAGGCCGACCACAAGCCUACACGCAUGUGUUGAUAUGAUAAAGUCGGGCAAAGAAAGCCACGUGAAAUGGGGAAAUGAACUUGGGUUCAUCAUCCUUCCGUUCUUCAUCGGCAUGCACAGCGACCCGCUCGACUACGUUCGCAAGGGGAAGAAGGUUGUGGACAGGAAGAAGAGCUCACUGGAGGUGGUAUUCACACAUGUCGCCGCAGAAGUGAUCUUCAAAGUGUUUGGACUGAAGGCAGCUUCGGCUAUCUUCCAUCGUAUGAUCUCCCAUACCACCAUAUCGUUCGCCAACAUGACUGGCCCGGUUGAACAGGUGGAGUUUUGUGGGCAUCCAAUCGUCUUCAUCGCCCCUAGCGGCUAUGGACCGCCAGAAGCCCUAACCGUGAAUUAUCAAAGCUAUGUCAACACCAUCAUGAUAAAUCUAGCACUGGAUGAGGGACACUUUCCUGACUAUGAUGAACUUUUGGAUGACUUUGUUGAAUCCCUUGAGGAUAUUAAGGAUGCAGCUUCACGCCUUGGAAUGCAUCAUGGGAAGGCCUAA